rnacentral:rRNA from 1 species
UUGACCUCGGAUCGGGUAAGACUACCCGCUGAACUUAAGCAUAU